rnacentral:misc_RNA from 1 species
GAAAUGCGAUAAGUAAUGUGAAUUGCAGAAUUCAGCGAAUCAUCGAAUCUUUGAACGCACAUUGCGCCCGCCAGUAUUCUGGCGGGCAUGCCUGUUCGAGCGUCAUUACAACCCUCAGGCCCCCGGGCCUGGCGUUGGGGAUCGGCGGAAGCCCCCUGCGGGCACAACGCCGUCCCCCAAAUACAGUGGCGGUCCCGCCGCAGCUUCCAUUGCGUAGUAGCUAACACCUCGCAACUGGAGAGCGGCGCGGCCACGCCGUAAAACACCCAACUUCUGAAUGUUGACCUCGAAUCAGGUAGGAAUACCCGCUGAACUUAAGC